UGUGGAGAUGCAACCCAAGGGCCACCAAAAGGAGCCUGAGAUAGCCAAGAAGGACUAUGCCCAACAAAAUUCCUGAUAACCGGAGCCUGAUGAGGAUGCAAAGGCGAAAGUGCCUGCUGAUAAUCAGUAACUGGGCCCCUUGGCAUAGCACUUGUUUGCAGAGUGUCACCAGGAGUAGGCAUACCCCAAAGUGGUGAAGAGAGGGAUACAAUGGGAUUCACAAUUGUAGGAGUACCCUUGCUGCUGCCUCGGACAACAGGUGAGGAGACUACUUUACUUUGAUGUGCACUUUGUUUAAUUGAUUGCUCGGGAGCUCUAGCACCUGAACGAGAUUGCAGAGGUGUCUCAGGGGUAAUGAGAUGAGACUUUUGACCAUGAAGCCUUUCUAAACAUGAGCGCCAGGCACUCUCCCAAAUGCUCCUACCACCAUCAGGUCCUCCAAAGGCAGAUAUCAUAUAUGCUUCAUCAGGUGCCAUUCCUUGAAUCAAAGCUCCAUAAACAAAGAUCUGAGCACGCAAUUGCACUUGCUGUAAAUCUG
rnacentral:misc_RNA from 1 species